AGGGGCUGGAGCAGCACGCAGCUGUGCAGGGCAUCAGGAAGUGUGGUGCCCCAAAUUUCCUGGGGGCCUAUGCAGCUGGGUACUUUGCGUAUGGAUAAGGAUGGCUCUGCUGGGCACUAGUUAUGGAAACACAUGCCAGGAUGGUACCAGAACACACUCCCUACAGAUAACAGGAACAGGCUGACCUAUCCUAAAGACAAGCAGGAGGAUAAUAUGGUAGAGUUGUUUUGUGAGAGGCGGCACCCUGACACGUAGAGAGGUUGCGUCAGGAAUGAGGUGUAACUUGUUUGUAUCUGUGUAUAAGAAUGCGCCCCUGAGUGGAUGGCUUUGGCGUAGGGGGCAGUGAUAAAUCCCGCUACUGGCUGAGCCGGUCCAUUGUCAGGGAGCACAUAUGUACUGGAAGAACCGUAGCCAUCUGAUCCAGGGAGCUACAGACUGUUUCGUUUGGCUAUAAACCUGGCUGGGUGCCUUUGUACCUUAUCGGAGUCUGUGGUCAUCGGGGGUUUUCUCGGGGUUUGCUGCGUCACCUAUCUGCAGAGCCAGGGCAGCAUGCAGAGGGAACACACCCAUGCAACCGACUUAUCAACACUGAACAGAGCAGAGCACCACACCCAUAACUUCUUACAACACUGGUGACCCCAACCGCUGAUCUGGUUUCUACCUUUGGCUCCCAAACAAAACAAAGAAUCAUGGACGUUUAAUACCCACAAAGUAUUUGCAUGGACCUGUAUUUAAAAAUUUGUUUUAGUUAAAUUUUAUAGUUAGUUGAAUUUUAUACGCUUUUCUUUUGUUAUGUUAAUGAGAAGCAAUGGUUGUUAAUGCUUCUAAACAGUUAACAGAAGUGGAAUAGGUAUCACAAGCAAAUUCAAUCUAAAAAGCUUGGUAAAAAUUCUGUUAUUAACUCGUUUGCCAAAACUCAGCAAGGGAAAGCAAUACACCUUCUCACAGAAGAUUGUAAGCAUCUAUUUUAGCGGUUAAGCAUUUUAUUUAGAAUAAAAUAUUAGUAAUGCACCUCAACUGAAAAUGAAUGUCUGCUCCACAAUUGCAGAAGUAUAACUUGUGUUAUAAAAGACUUGGUCUCUAUUACAUUGUUCCUAUUACACUGCAAAUAACUAAGGUGAACUUUGUAUUAAGUUUGAGUUACUGAAAACAAACAAAAAAAAUUUACUUUGUUAACUAACAGAAGUUGUUUAAGUUGCAUCCCACAGACCAAAGACACCAGAAGAUCUCACACUACAAAAACACCAGAUGGUAUCAGCAUCCAGUGAAGAAACCCCCCGAAGCAUCAAGAAAAGAAAAAUGAAGUGCUUUAUACCUAAGAGCCUGGUCAAAUACACUUCAAUCUACCCUAUUCAGUUGGCAAUCAGCUAGAAAUCACUGUCAGUUAAUUUGAAUUUGGCUUCUGCAUAAAAGCAACUAUUAUUGCUGAA